UACAGAGGGUGCGAGCGUUGUCCGGAAUUACUGGGCGUAAAGCGCGCGUAGGCGGCUUUGCAAGUCAGAGGUGAAAGCCCGGGGCUCAACCCCGGAAUUGCCUUUGAGACUGCAUCGCUAGAGCGUCGGAGAGGUAAGUGGAAUUCCGAGUGUAGAGGUGAAAUUCGUAGAUAUUGGGAAGAACACCGAUGGCGAAGGCAGCCAUCUGGACCGACACUGACGCUGAGGCGCGAAAGCGUGGGGAGCAAACAGG
rnacentral:rRNA from 1 species